UACGAAGGGGGCUAGCGUUGCUCGGAAUCACUGGGCGUAAAGCGCACGUAGGCGGACUUUUAAGUCAGGGGUGAAAUCCUGGAGCUCAACUCCAGAACUGCCUUUGAUACUGGAAGUCUUGAGUCCGGAAGAGGUAAGUGGAACUGCGAGUGUAGAGGUGAAAUUCGUAGAUAUUCGCAAGAACACCAGUGGCGAAGGCGGCUCACUGGCCCGGUACUGACGCUGAGGUGCGAAAGCGUGGGGAGCAACAGG
rnacentral:rRNA from 1 species